rnacentral:snoRNA from 1 species
UGAGGAUGAGACCCUGUCCAAUGUGAAUCCUGAUGCAGUUGAAAGAUCUGCUCUGGCUGAAC